UGGCGGACGGGUGAGUAACGCGUGAGGAACCUGCCUCAGAGUGGGGGAUAACACACCGAAAGGUGUGCUAAUACCGCAUAACAUAUGGGAGGGGCAUCCCUUUCAUAUCAAAGAUUUAUUGCUCUGAGAUGGCCUCGCGUCCAAUUAGCUAGUUGGCGGGGUAACGGCCCACCAAGGCGACGAUUGGUAGCCGGACUGAGAGGUUGAACGGCCACAUUGGGACUGAGACACGGCCCAGACUCCUACGGAAGGCAGCAG
rnacentral:rRNA from 1 species